UACAGAGGUCUCAAGCGUUGUUCGGAUUCAUUGGGCGUAAAGGGUGCGUAGGUGGCGCCGUAAGUCAGGUGUGAAAUUUCGGAGCUUAACUCCGAAACUGCAUUUGAUACUGCGGUGCUUGAGGACUGGAGAGGAGACUGGAAUUUACGGUGUAGCAGUGAAAUGCGUAGAUAUCCGGAGGAACACCGGUGGCGAAGGCGGCUUCCUGGACCGACACUGACGCUGAGGCGCGAAAGCUAGGGGAGCAAACGGG
rnacentral:rRNA from 1 species